UUAACAACCAGGAGCAGUAUUAAGGAUUAGUAAAACACGAUUUAAUGUUAAGUAUUACUGCUUAAAAUUUAGGGUCUUCAACAACUGUCUCCACCCCUACCACGGCGAAAUCAACAGACAAAGUCCCCUUGGAUGACAAGGGAAGUGCUUCCCCCACAAUAAUGAUUGUAGCGGCAUCUUUAGGCGCAGUGUUAUUCGUGUCCUUGAUCAUUCUUGUUGCAGUCAUACUUCUAAGGCGUAAAAAACGUCAAGGAAAAGAUGCAGAAAGUGCACCGCCGAAAAACCACUCGCUAAAGAUGUCAGCACCGAAGAACAGCGAGAAAGACCAAUUUGGAGAGAGCCAAUAUGAAUCUGUGAAUCCCGUUGAAGCCGCAAAGCUCCUUGGGUCAGCAAACAGCACCCCUGAUAAGAGUGAGACUAAGUUCGAUUCGCCACCAGAAUAUUGUGAAUAGGCCGUUGUCAACAAGGCAAACAAGAAGCGAAAGGAGGGAGACCUUGUGUACGCUCAACUCGCCGAUUUUGACAAUGAAACUGACUCCGCCAAACCACCAAAACCACCCAGCUAUGAGCCCACGAUAUAUGCUGAUGUUGAAGAACUGCCUCCAGAGUUGCCUGGAAGAGAGGAUCCAGACUUCCCACAGCCAACGUAUGCGAAUCUGGAAACGACUGGUGUCUGAAUGAAAUAAGAAAUGAAAUAAAUGUAUGUUUAUUUCCAGUUUAGAAUGAUAUAUAAAUGCAUUUGAAUUAAGUUUCCGCUAGAGUGUAACGAGGAAAAGUCUUGAUAUAAUUUUCUUCAGUUACUUAAGAUAACAUUUAUUAACGGUAAAGAUAAGUCUCAUUAUAAUUUUUAAGCAUAAAUGUUUAGGGUUUAAGAAAGAUGUUGUAUGAGAGAAAUCUUUGUCUCUUACCUAGCUUGUAGGAAUAAAGUAACAUGCUGUCUGCAUCUUGCAACUUAUACAGAUUGAUAGAUUGAAUUUGUAUUGUAUCUGUAGUAAAUUAUUAUUUUCCACAAACGCGUUGGACACAAGUUGGCGCCCAUCCACUUGUGUUGUGCAAACGAGAGCGAAUGGAUAUCUUUCCUGUUACGGGUGAUCUAUCAUGGUGUCUGGGCCAAUAGAAGUUUUAAAAGAGUAUUGUUUUAAGACUGUAUUAAAGUGUCAAUAGUAUUUAGCUUGAAGAAAACUAAUUAGGGACACCGUUUACGUAUUACAAUCUACGUAAGCUACAUAGAGUUAAAAUUAUUUACAGUUCAAUUCCUAAU